UACGUAGGGGUGCAAGCGUUAAUCGGAAUUACUGGGCGUAAAGCGUGCGCAGGCGGUUGUGCAAGACAGAUGUGAAAUCCCCGGGCUCAACCUGGGAACUGCAUUUGUGACUGCACGGCUGGAGUGCGGCAGAGGGGGAUGGAAUUCCGCGUGUAGCAGUGAAAUGCGUAGAUAUGCGGAGGAACACCGAUGGCGAAGGCAAUCCCCCUGGGCCUGCACUGACGCUCAUGCACGAAAGCGUGGGGAGCAAACAGG
rnacentral:rRNA from 1 species